GAUGAAGAACGUAGCGAAAUGCGAUAAGUAAUGUGAAUUGCAGAAUUCAGUGAAUCAUCGAAUCUUUGAACGCACAUUGCGCCCCCUGGUAUUCCGGGUGGCAUGCCUGUUCGAGCGUCAUUUCACCACUCAAGCCUCGCUUGGUAUUGGGCAACGCGGUCCGCCGCGUGCCUCAAAUCGACCGGCUGGGUCUUCUGUCCCCUAAGCGUUGUGGAAACUAUUCGCUAAAGGGUGUUCGGGAGGCUACGCCGUAAAACAACCCCAUUUCUAAGGUUGACCUCGGAUCAGGUAGGGAUACCCGCUGAACUUAAGCAUAUCAAUAAGCGGAGGA
rnacentral:misc_RNA from 1 species